rnacentral:rRNA from 1 species
GACGAACGCUGGCGGCGUGCUUAACACAUGCAAGUCGAACGCUGAAGCUCAGCUUGCUGGGUGGAUGAGUGGCGAACGGGUGAGUAACACGUGAGUAACCUGCCCUCUUCUUUGGGAUAACGCCCGGAAACGGGUGCUAAUACUGGAUAUUCACUGAUUCUCGCAUGGGGGUUGGUGGAAAGGUUUAUUCUGGUGGGGGAUGGGCUCGCGGCCUAUCAGCUUGUUGGUGGGGUGAUGGCCUACCAAGGCUUUGACGGGUAGCCGGCCUGAGAGGGUGACCGGUCACGUUGGGACGGAGAUACGGCCCAGACUCCUACGGGAGGCAGGAGUGGGGAAUAAUGCACAAUGGGCGAAAGCCUGAUGCAGCGACGCCGCGUGAGGGAUGGAGGCCUUCGGGUUGUAAACCUCUUUCGCUCAUGGUCAAGCCGCAGCUUUGGGUUGUGGUGAGGGUAGUGGGUAAAGAAGCGCCGGCUAACUACGUG